UACGUAGGGUGCAAGCGUUGUCCGGAAUUAUUGGGCGUAAAGAGCUCGUAGGCGGUCUGUCACGUCGGCUGUGAAAUCCCGAGGCUCAACCUCGGGUCUGCAGUCGAUACGGGCAAACUAGAGUAUUGCAGGGGAGACUGGAAUUCCUGGUGUAGCGGUGAAAUGCGCAGAUAUCAGGAGGAACACCGGUGGCGAAGGCGGGUCUCUGGGCAGUAACUGACGCUGAGGAGCGAAAGCGUGGGGAGCGAACAGG
rnacentral:rRNA from 1 species